rnacentral:rRNA from 1 species
AGUGAACGCUGGCGGUAGGCCUAACACAUGCAAGUCGAACGGCAGCACAGUAAGAGCUUGCUCUUACGGGUGGCGAGUGGCGGACGGGUGAGGAAUACAUCGGAAUCUACUUUUUCGUGGGGGAUAACGUAGGGAAACUUACGCUAAUACCGCAUACGACCUACGGGUGAAAGCAGGGGAUCUUCGGACCUUGCGCGAUUGAAUGAGCCGAUGUCGGAUUAGCUAGUUGGCGGGGUAAAGGCCCACCAAGGCGACGAUCCGUAGCUGGUCUGAGAGGAUGAUCAGCCACACUGGAACUGAGACACGGUACAGACUCCUACGGGAGGCAGCAGUGGGGAAUAUUGGACAAUGGGCGCAAGCCUGAUCCAGCCAUACCGCGUGGGUGAAGAAGGCCUUCGGGUUGUAAAGCCAUUUUGUUGGGAAAGAAAAGCAGCAGGUUAAUACCCCGCUGUUCUGACGGUACCCAAAGAAUAAGCACCGGCUAGCUUCGUG